rnacentral:rRNA from 1 species
AGUUUGAUUAUGGCUCAGAUUGAACGCUGACGGGAUGCUUUACACAUGCAAGUCGAACGGCAGCACGGACUUCGGUCUGGUGGCGAGUGCCGAACGGGUGAGUAAUGUAUCGGAACGUGCCUAGUAGCGGGGGAUAACUACGCGAAAGCGUAAUAAUACCGCAUACGCCCUUCGGGGGAAAGCGGGGGACCUUCGGGCCUCGCACUAUUAGAGCGGCCGAUAUCGGAUUAGCUAGUUGGUGGGGUAACGGCUCGCAGGGCGAUCCGUAGCUGGAUUUGAAGUUGACCAGCCACGCUGAUCGAGACUGCGGCUGACUCCUACGGGAGGCAGCAGUGGGGAAUUUUGGACAAUGGAAACCUGAUCCAGCCAUCCCGCGUGUGCGAUGAAGGCCUUCGGGUUGUAAAAGCACUUUUUGGCAGGAAGAAACGGCACGGGAUAAUACCCCGUGCAACUGACAGUACCUGCAGAAUAAGCACCGGCUAACUACGUGCCAACAGCCGCGAUAUCUAAUGGGGUGCAAAGCGUGUCGAGAUUACUGGGCGUAAAGCGUGCGCAGGCAGUUCAGAAAAGAUAUGAAGAAAUCCCGAAACUUAACUGGAACUGCAUUUUUAACUACCGACUAAGUGUGUCAGAGGGAGGUGGAAUUCCGCGUGUAGCAGUGAAAUGCGUAGAUAUGCGGAGGAACACACCGAUGGCGAAGGCAACCUCCUGGGAUAACACUGACGCUCAUGCACGAAAGCGUGGGAGCAAACAGGAUUAGAUACCCUGGUAGUCCACGCCCUAAACGAUAUCGCUAGCUGUUGUUGAGGGCCUUCGGGCCUGUAUGACCAAUACAACUAACGCGUGAAGUUGACCGCCUGGGAAUUUUCGGUCGCAAGAUUAAACUCAAGGAAUUGACGGGGACCCGCACAGCGAUGGAUGAUGUGGAUUAAUUCGAUGCAACGCAACAACACCUACCCUUGCCAUAUCUGGAAUCCCGAAGAGAUUUGGGAGUGCUCGCAAGAGAACCGGAACACAGGUGCUGCAUGGCUGUCGUCAGCUCGUGUCGUGAGAUGUUGGGUUAAGUCCCGCAACGAGCGCAACCCGCUGUCAUUAGUUGCUACGAAGGGCACUCUAAUGAGACUACCAGUGACAAACCGGAGGAAGAUGAGGGAUGACGUCAAGUCCUCAUGGCCCUUAUGGGUAGGGCUUCACACGUCUCUUAAAUGGUGUCAGGUUUCAGGGGAAUUCGCCCGAGGAGCCAAUCAGAAACCGAUCGUAGUCCGGAUCGCAGUCUGCAACUCGACUGCGUGAAGUCGGAAUCGCUAGUAAUCGCGGAUCAGCAUGUCGCGGUGAAUACGUUCCCGGGUCUUGUACACCGCCCGUCACACCAUGGGAGUGGGUUUUACCAGAAGUAGAUAGCCUAACCGUAAGGGCGAUUACCACGGUAGGAUUCAUGACUGGGGUGAAGUCGUAACAAAGGUAG